rnacentral:rRNA from 1 species
GGAAUAUUGGGCAAUGGGCGAAAGCCUGACCCAGCAACGCCGCGUGAGUGAAGAAGGCCUUCGGGUUGUAAAGCUCUGUUAUAGGGGACGAAGGGAGUGACGGUACCCUAUAAGGAAGCCCCGGCUAACUACGUGCCAGCAGCCGCGGUAAUACGUAGGGGGCGAGCGUUGUCCGGAAUGACUGGGCGUAAAGGGCGUGUAGGCGGCCGGAUAAGUCUGGAGUGAAAGUCCUGCUUUCAAGGUGGGAAUUGCUUUGGAUACUGUCGGGCUUGAGUGCGGAAGAGGUAAGUGGAAUUCCCAGUGUAGCGGUGAAAUGCGUAGAGAUUGGGAGGAACACCAGUGGCGAAGGCGACUUACUGGGCCGUAACUGACGCUGAGGCGCGAAAGUCGGGGGAGCAAACA